rnacentral:rRNA from 1 species
AUUGAACGCUGGCGGCAUGCCUUACACAUGCAAGUCGAACGGUAACAGGUCUUCGGAUGCUGACGAGUGGCGAACGGGUGAGUAAUACAUCGGAACGUGCCUAGUAGUGGGGGAUAACUACUCGAAAGAGUGGCUAAUACCGCAUGAGAUCUACGGAUGAAAGCAGGGGAUCGCAAGACCUUGUGCUACUAGAGCGGCCGAUGGCAGAUUAGGUAGUUGGUGGGAUAAAAGCUUACCAAGCCGACGAUCUGUAGCUGGUCUGAGAGGACGAUCAACCACACUGGGACUGAGACACGGCCCAGACUCCUACGGGAGGCAGAAGUGGGGAAUUUUGGACAAUGGGCGCAAGCCUGAUCCAGCAAUGCCACGUGCAGGAUGAAGGCCUUCGGGUUGUAAACUGCUUUUGUACGGAACGAAAAGCCCCGGGUUAAUACCCCGGGGUCAUGACGGUACCGUAAGAGUAAGCACCGGCUAACUACGUGCCAGCCGCCGCCGUAA